rnacentral:rRNA from 1 species
AUACAUGAGCAAAAUCUCAACUUUAUUAGAAGAGACGCAUUUAUUAGAUAAAAAGCCAGUUCAUGCUUUUACAGUAUGAAAAUUGGUGAUUUAUAAUAACCUAGCAAAUCGCAAAGUGAAAACAGGCGAUAAAUCAUUCAAGUUUCUGACCUAUCAGCUUUCGACGGUAUGGUAUUGGCUUACCGUGGCAGUGACGGUUAACGGGGGAUUAGGGUUCGAUUCCGGAGAGGGAGCCUGAGAAACGGCUACCACAUCUAAGGAAGGCAGCAGGCGCGCAAAUUACCCAAUUCUAACAGUUUGAGAGAGGUAGUAACAAGAAAUAACAAUACAAGGCAGUUAAAAUGCUUUGUAAUUGAAAUGAUAGAAAUUUAAACCCUUUUUAAAGUAUCAAUUGGAGGGCAAGUCUGGUGCCAGCAGCCGCGGUAAUUCCAGCUCCAAUAGCGUAUAUUAAAAUUGUUGCAGUUAAAAAGCUCGUAGUUGAAGUUCUGCUGAAAGUAACCGGUCUGCUUUUAAUAAAAGUGGUAUCUUGGUAUGUAUUUAGCAAUGAUGUCCUUUGAAGUGUUUUUUACUUUAUUGUAAUAAAGCAUAUUCAGGACUUUUACUUUGAGAAAAUUAGAGUGUUUCUAGCAGGCUGACGCUUUGAAUACUGCAGCAUGGAAUAAUAAG